UACGGGGGGUGCAAGCGUUAUUCGGAUUCAUUGGGCGUAAAGAGCGCGUAGGCUGUCUUUUAUGUCAGGUGUGAAAGCCCGAGGCUUAACCUCGGAAGUGCACUUGAAACUGAAAGACUUGAGUAUGGGAGAGGGAAGUGGAAUUCCUGGUGUAGCGGUGAAAUGCGUAGAUAUCAGGAGGAACACCGGUGGCGAAGGCGACUUCCUGGACCAAUACUGACGCUGAGGCGCGAAGGCGUGGGGAGCAAACAGGAUUAGAUACCCGCGUA
rnacentral:rRNA from 1 species